CGGGACACGUGGUAUCCUGUCUGAAUAUGGGGGGACCAUCCUCCAAGGCUAAAUACUCCUGACUGACCGAUAGUGAACCAGUACCGUGAGGGAAAGGCGAAAAGAACCCCGGCGAGGGGAGUGAAAAAGAACCUGAAACCGUGUACGUACAAGCAGUGGGAGCACGCUUAGGCGUGUGACUGCGUACCUUUUGUAUAAUGGGUCAGCGACUUAUAUUCUGUAGCAAGGUUAACCGAAUAGGGGAGCCGAAGGGAAACCGAGUCUUAACUGGGCGUUAAGUUGCAGGGUAUAGACCCGAAACCCGGUGAUCUAGCCAUGGGCAGGUUGAAGGUUGGGUAACACUAACUGGAGGACCGAACCGACUAAUGUUGAAAAAUUAGCGGAUGACUUGUGGCUGGGGGUGAAAGGCCAAUCAAACCGGGAGAUAGCUGGUUCUCCCCGAAAGCUAUUUAGGUAGCGCCUCGUGAAUUCAUCUCCGGGGGUAGAGCACUGUUUCGGCAAGGGGGUCAUCCCGACUUACCAACCCGAUGCAAACUGCGAAUACCGGAGAAUGUUAUCACGGGAGACACACGGCGGGUGCUAACGUCCGUCGUGAAGAGGGAAACAACCCAGACCGCCAGCUAAGGUCCCAAAGUCAUGGUUAAGUGGGAAACGAUGUGGGAAGGCCCAGACAGCCAGGAUGUUGGCUUAGAAGCAGCCAUCAUUUAAAGAAAGCGUAAUAGCUCACUGGUCGAGUCGGCCUGCGCGGAAGAUGUAACGGGGCUAAACCAUGCACCGAAGCUGCGGCAGCGACGCUGAUGCGUUGUUGGGUAGGGGAGCGUUCUGUAAGCCUGUGAAGGUGUGCUGUGAGGCAUGCUGGAGGUAUCAGAAGUGCGAAUGCUGACAUAAGUAACGAUAAAGCGGGUGAAAAGCCCGCUCGCCGGAAGACCAAGGGUUCCUGUCCAACGUUAAUCGGGGCAGGGUGAGUCGACCCCUAAGGCGAGGCCGAAAGGCGUAGUCGAUGGGAAACAGGUUAAUAUUCCUGUACUUGGUGUUACUGCGAAGGGGGGACGGAGAAGGCUAUGUUGGCCGGGCGACGGUUGUCCCGGUUUAAGCGUGUAGGCUGGUUUUCCAGGCAAAUCCGGAAAAUCAAGGCUGAGGCGUGAUGACGAGGCACUACGGUGCUGAAGCAACAAAUGCCCUGCUUCCAGGAAAAGCCUCUAAGCAUCAGGUAACAUCAAAUCGUACCCCAAACCGACACAGGUGGUCAGGUAGAGAAUACCAAGGCGCUUGAGAGAACUCGGGUGAAGGAACUAGGCAAAAUGGUGCCGUAACUUCGGGAGAAGGCACGCUGAUAUGUAG
rnacentral:rRNA from 1 species